rnacentral:rRNA from 1 species
GAUGAACGCUGGCGGCGUGCUUAACACAUGCAAGUCACGGGGGCCAGCAAUGGGUAACCGGCGAACGGGUGCGUAACACGUGAGCAACCUACCGAAAUGAGGGGGAUAGCCGGCCCAACGGCCGGGUAAUACCGCAUACGCUAGAGUCCAGGCAUUUGGUCUCUAGGAAACCUCUGGGGCAUUUCGAGGGGCUCGCGGCCUAUCAGCUAGUUGGUGAGGUAACGGCUCACCAAGGCGACGACGGGUAGCUGGUCUGAGAGGAUGGCCAGCCACAUUGGGACUGAGAUACGGCCCAGACUCCUACGGGAGGCAGCAGUGGGGAAUCUUGCGCAAUGGCCUAACGGCUGACGCAGCGACGCCGCGUGAGGGAUGACGCUCUUCGGAGUGUAAACCUCUUUUGCCUGAGACGAAUUGCCAGCUUCAGCUUGGUUUGACUGUAUCGGUGAAUAAGCACCGGCUAACUCCGUGCC